UACGGGAGGGGCAAGCGUUAUUCAUCAUAAACGGGCGUAAAGGGUGAGUAGGCCAUGGUAGAUAGUUAAUAAGAAAGAACAAAGGCAUCUUUGUUGCUUGUAUACUAGAAACUAGUUAAUAGAGACAUUGGAGAGAGGAUAGAAUUACUAAUGGAAAGGUAAAAUCUUCUGAGAUUAGUACGAAUACCGGUGGCGAAGGCGAUCUUCAUUCAAAUCUAACGCUGAGGUGUUAAAGCUUGGGAAUCAAACGGG
rnacentral:rRNA from 1 species